GGAGAGGUGCCAGAGCGGUCGAAUGGGCACGCCUGGAAAGCGUGUGUGGGUGCAAGUCCACCGAGGGUUCGAAUCCCUCUCUCUCCACCA
rnacentral:tRNA from 1 species